UUGAACAUGCUAGGCUAUCAUAGAUCCUUGU
rnacentral:piRNA from 1 species